UGGGGAAUUUUGGACAAUGGGGGAAACCCUGAUCCAGCCAUCCCGCGUGUGCGAUGAAGGCCUUCGGGUUGUAAAGCACUUUUGGCAGGAAAGAAACGUCAUGGGUUAAUACCCCGUGAAACUGACGGUACCUGCAGAAUAAGCACCGGCUAACUGCGUGCCAGCAGCCGCGGUAAUACGUAGGGUGCAAGCGUUAAUCGGAAUUACUGGGCGUAAAGCGUGCGCAGGCGGUUCGGAAAGAAAGAUGUGAAAUCCCAGAGCUCAACUUUGGAACUGCAUUUUUAACUACCGGGCUAGAGUGUGUCAGAGGGAGGUGGAAUUCCGCGUGUAGCAGUGAAAUGCGUAGAUAUGCGGAGGAACACCGAUGGCGAAGGCAGCCUCCUGGGAUAACACUGACGCUCAUGCACGAAAGCGUGGGGAGCAAACAGG
rnacentral:rRNA from 1 species